UACGUAGGGUGCAAGCGUUGUCCGGAAUUAUUGGGCGUAAAGAGCUCGUAGGCGGUCUGUCGCGUCGGCUGUGAAAGCCCGGAGCUCAACUCCGGGCCUGCAGUCGAUACGGGCAAACUGGAGUGUUGCAGGGGAGACUGGAAUUCCUGGUGUAGCGGUGAAAUGCGCAGAUAUCAGGAGGAACACCGGUGGCGAAGGCGGGUCUCUGGGCAACAACUGACGCUGAGGAGCGAAAGCGUGGGGAGCGAACAGG
rnacentral:rRNA from 1 species